CUUUCUUCUUCUCUUUCCUUUUCUUCUAUGUUCUUCUUUGUCUUCUCUUUCUGCGAUCUCAGUUCAUUAGAAUUUGGUUUAGUUGUUGUAUGAGGAAUUCUUUUAAGUUAUGAAUCUUGUUGAGUUGAGGGAGAAGGUGCUGAUGCUGCUACCGAUUGAGUUUUGAAAGAAGCAGAAAAGGUUUCAGACACAGAUUCAGUUCAAGUGGUGCACGUGGUGAUGAAAUCUUCGAGGAGUUGGUUUCGUUAGUUGGUUAGCUUCCGCUGUGUUUAUUUUGUGUUUAUAUUCUAUUUGUAAACCAACCCACUAUUGAAUAUGUAUCAUAUGAGAGGAGUUAUUGUAAUUAUUUCAGACAGGGUUUAGAUUCGGGUUAAUCUUUGAUUAUAACUUCUUUCUUACUGUUUAAAUAGAUGUUUUAGAUCGUUAGUGCCUCA